GAUGAACGCUGGCGGCGUGCCUAAUACAUGCAAGUCGAGCGAACAGAUAAGGAGCUUGCUCCUUUGACGUUAGCGGCGGACGGGUGAGUAACACGUGGGUAACCUACCUAUAAGACUGGAAUAACUCCGGGAAACCGGGGCUAAUGCCGGAUAACAUUUAGAACCGCAUGGUUCUAAAGUGAAAGAUGGUUUUGCUAUCACUUAUAGAUGGACCCGCGCCGUAUUAGCUAGCUGGUAAGGUAACGGCUUACCAAGGCAACGAUACGUAGCCGACCUGAGAGGGUGAUCGACCACACUGGAACUGAGACACGGUCCAGACUCCUACGGGAGGCAGCAGUAGGGAAUCUUCCGCAAUGGGCGAAAGCCUGACGGAGCAACGCCGCGUGAGUGAUGAAGGUCUUCGGAUCGUAAAACUCUGUUAUUAGGGAAGAACAAAUGUGUAAGUAACUGUGCACGUCUUGACGGUACCUAAUCAGAAAGCCACGGCUAACUACGUG
rnacentral:rRNA from 1 species